rnacentral:rRNA from 1 species
AUGACAGUAUCAGCAUAUGGGAGCAGAGUGGCGAACCCACCUAGGCUGGCUUCGGACUACUUUGAUUACACAAUGGCUACCUGGGACAAGCAUAAGAUUGAGCAAGCGUUCAUGCCUAUGGACGUCCCUGCCAUCCUCUCGAUCCCGCUCAGUACACGGAACUUUGAUGACUACUGGGCAUGGCACUUUGAAAGAAACGGCGUAUUCUCUGUUCGGUCGGCGUACAGAAUGCUCGUGGCUACCAGGCAACGAAGGGAGGCUUGGCUCGAGGGCAGCGCGGGCACCUCCAAUUCUCGAACUGAAGAAUUAUCUUGGAAGGCUUUGUGGCGAACACAGGUUCCGGCGAAAGUUCGUAUGUUCAUGUGGCGUUUGGCAAGACAAUCCCUCCCUACAGAAGAUGUACGAGCACAUAGAAACAUGGCUGUGACUAGCUCCUGCGGUUUAUGCGGCUCUCGGGAUUCAUGGAGACACUCCCUCCUCGAGUGCUCCAUGUCCAGCCCAAGGCGAAUUUACAAGGAACCCCUCAUGCAGAAGGCGCGCCACAUGCAAAGGGCCUCGGCACCUCCAACGGGUUUCGCGAGAAUUCACGUCGACGGCGCAGUUUACAGGGACCGACGCGGAUCAGCGGCUGCAGUGUGCCGUGAUGAAGCUGGAAACUAUCUCGGAAGCUCAACUUUGGUUAUAGAGAACCAGCAUGACCCGGCGACGCUAGAGGCGAUUGCUUGCAGAGAAGCAUUAGCCUUGGCUGAAGAUCUUCUUCUCCAACGAUUUGUUGUAUCCUCCGAAGCAGGUGGUGAGCGACAUCCGUAA